AAUAUGUGCCAACAUGUUGGAAUGAGGAUAUAGAGGAGAAGAGCAGUGGAUCUGGGGAAACUGAAAAAGGCUCCUGAGCCCCAUUUUCUGUAAGAAAGGCAUCCCCUCAGAUUUGUGAGGGCCUAGAGGAAAAGGUUAAGAAUUUAAAAUCAGAGAGCAGGACAGACAUGCUGUUUCCAUGAGUAACACUAGUGAAGCCAGAAAGAAUUACUCUCAGUUCUUAUCAACCAUCAGGGUAUACAGAACUGAUUUUUCUACUUUCUUCAGCGCUGUGCACGUGUUUUAAGUCAAACUUCCUCAUGCAGAAGUGCCGCUUUCUUUGGGGAUGCACAGAGGACUCUGCAUGAGGCAGAAGGCAUCUAAGUCACAGGCUGAUGGCAACUGGAGUCACAGGCUGAUGGGAACUGAAGUCAC